CCUACGGGUGGCAGCAGUGGGGAAUAUUGCACAAUGGGGGAAACGCUGAUGCAGCGACGCCGCGUGAGUGAAGAAGGAAUUCGGUACGUAAAGCUCUAUCAGCAGGGAAGAAAAUGAAGGUACCUGAGUCAGAAGCCCCGGCUAACUACGUGCCAGGAGCCGCGGCAAUACGUAGGGGGCAAGCGUUAUCCGGAUUUACUGGGUGUAAAGGGAGCGUAGACGGUGCGCCAAGUCUGGAGUGAAAUGACGCAGCUUAACUGCGGAACUGCUUGGGAAACUGGCGGACUAGAGUGCGGGAGGGGUAUGCGGAAUUCGUAGUGUAGCGGUGAAAUGCGUAGAUAUUAGGAAGAACACCGGUGGCGAAGGCAGCUUACUGGACCGUAACUGACGUUGAGGCUCGAAAGCGUGGGGAGCAAACAGGAUUAGAUACCCCUGUAGUC
rnacentral:rRNA from 1 species